rnacentral:rRNA from 1 species
AACGAACGCUGGCGGCAGGCUUAACACAUGCAAGUCGAACGCAUCGCAAGAUGAGUGGCAGACGGGUGAGUAACGCGUGGGAACAUACCCUUUUCUACGGAAUAGCUCUGGGAAACUGGAAUUAAUACCGUAUACGCCCUACGGGGGAAAGAUUUAUCGGGGAAGGAUUGGCCCGCGUUGGAUUAGCUAGUUGGUGGGGUAAAGGCCUACCAAGGCGACGAUCCAUAGCUGGUCUGAGAGGAUGAUCAGCCACAUUGGGACUGAGACACGGCCCAAACUCCUACGGGAGGCAGCAGUGGGGAAUAUUGGACAAUGGGCGCAAGCCUGAUCCAGCCAUGCCGCGUGGGUGAUGAAGGCCUUAGGGUUGUAAAGCUCUUUCACCGAUGAAGAUAAUGACGGUAGUCGGAGAAGGAGCCCCGGCUAACUUCGUGCCAGCCGCCGCCGUAAGAC